rnacentral:rRNA from 1 species
UACGUAGGGGGCAAGCGUUGUCCGGAAUCAUUGGGCGUAAAGAGCGCGUAGGCGGCCCUGUAAGUCCGCCGUGAAAGUCAAGGGCUCAACCCUUGGAUGCCGGUGGAUACUGCAGGGCUAGAGUCCGGAAGAGGCGAGUGGAAUUCCUGGUGUAGCGGUGAAAUGCGCAGAUAUCAGGAGGAACACCGAUGGCGAAGGCAGCUCGCUGGGACGGUACUGACGCUGAGGCGCGAAAGCGUGGGGAGCAAACAGG